UCACUGCUGACGAGUCCUAAACGGGACGAAACAGCUGUCCAGUGA
rfam:Echinostoma caproni strain Egypt genome assembly, scaffold: ECPE_scaffold0001042